rnacentral:lncRNA from 1 species
AUCUGUCACCCUCUGGAUUAUCCAGUCAUCAUGAACCCAUGUUUCUGUGGCUUCCUAGUUUUGUUGUCUUUUUUUCUCAGUCUUUUAGACUCCCAGCUGCACAAUUGGAUUGCCUUACAAAUUACCUGCUUCAAGGAUGUGGAAAUUCCCAAUUUCUUCUGUGACCCUUCUCAACUCCCCCACCCUUGCCUGUUGUGACACCUUCACCAAUGACAUAGUCAUGUAUUUCCUUGCUGCCAUAUUUGGUUUUCUUCCCAUUUCGGGGACCUUUUCUCUUACUAUAAAAUUGUUUCCUCCAUUCUGAGGGUUUCAUCAUCAGGUGGGAAGUAUAAAGCCUUCUCCACCUGUGGCUCUCACCUGUCAGUUGUUUGCUUAUUUUAUGGAACAGGCUUUGGAGGGGACCUCAGUUCAGACAUGUCCUCUUAUCCCAGAAAAGGUGCAGUGGCCUCAGUGAUGUACACGGUGGUUACU